GAUUACAUAUCCAUCCACAGGCUGACAUCAUCGUUCGUGGAUAUGCUGGUUGGAAUUCUAGGUUUGCCUUGAAGGUCUUAGACCAAGUCUUCCCAAAGGAUGCUGUGAUACAACCUUCAUUGGUGAUAGUCUAUUUCGGUGGGAAUGAUUCAAUGGAUCCUCAUCCAUCAGGCUUUGGUCCUCAUGUUCCUUUAUCUGAAUUCAUUGAUAACAUGAGAAAAAUUGGAGAGCAUCUUUUGGUAAUGCCCUUUUAAAAGUUUUUUGAAUGUUGAGUGACAUGUUUCACUUGUUAGUGCCUCUCCUUUACUUGCUAACUCUUGGUAUCUUCUUAUUCAUCUUCUUACUAGGGGCUUUCGGAUAAGACCCGCGUCAUUUUUCUUACUCCUCCGCCAAUGAAUGAGAAACAGAUCCAGCUAGUUUUUGGGGAUGUGAUAAAAGGCCGGAGUAACGAGCGUUGAUCUCCAGGUGGAUUUCUGUAGAUAUGUUAUCAAGAACAGCUUUUGGAAACAAUGUGGAAGAAGGGAAAGAAAUCUUUGCGUUGCAGGAGCGUAUGAUGCGUCUUUUCUAUCUGGUUAGAUGGAGCGUUUAUA